GGGCGCGCUCGCUCCAUCUUUCACAGAGUCUACCCGGAAACAAAACCUUGGCGACACCAAGGCCACCACGUUGACGCCAAGGAGUGCGCAGCAAUAAUGGAGCGCUGUAAUUACCGAGGAAUGUUAUCUUCCUGCCAGCUUCCUCUGUCUCUCCAGACCACGGGUUCUGCCACACAGCUGCUGACCUUUAUUGCUUUCUGGGCUCAGUCAUCUCGUAUGUGCUCAGAGCUGAUCUGCUGCUCCUCUGCAUGAGGAAGAGGAGGAUCAGGAUCCCCCAGGAAGAGCUGGAUGGAAUGGCUGCAGAUAGGGAAACCUUUCCAGCUGAACCACUGGGCAGCUGCAUUAACCGUUUGAUUUUUAUUUUUCAUCAUCAGUUGCAUUGGGAUUUCAUGUUCAGCACCACUAUUCUAAAUAAAUUUCCUUCACUUGCAUCACUGUCAUGUUCUGUGGCGUGUGAAAGUGAAAGCAAUUGGUUGUGAUGUUGCAUUUCCUUUGAUUUGUCUGCAGAGGGAACCAUUGAAUACAGGCAGGCACCACCCAAUUGUCAGUGGGAGAAAGCUAGAUACAGUAUA